CACCUUCGGGUGAGAGUAGAGUGGCGCACGGGUGAGUAACACGUGGGAACCUGCCCAGAAGUGGGGAAUAACUCAGGGAAACUUGAGCUAAUACCGCAUAAUCCCCUCGGGGGAAAGCUUUAUGCGCUUUUGGAUGGGCCCGCGCCGGAUUAGCUUGUUGGUGAGGUAACGGCUUACCAAGGCAACGAUCCGUAGCUGGUUUGAGAGGACGAUCAGCCACACUGGGACUGAGACACGGCCCAG
rnacentral:rRNA from 1 species